UUUUUUUUAAAUAUAUUUAUUUGUCUACCAAUCUAUCUAUUAAUUUACUCAUUCGUUCAUUUAUUUAUUUAUUUAUUUAUUUAUUUAUUAUUUUUCAUUUAGUUCGUGCCUUAUUGCAUUACAUGUACAUACAUCUCAAUAUGUAUAAAAAAAAAAAAAAAAAAAAAUGCGUCACUCACUUUACAACGCAAAAAACAACGUAUAAUUGCGUUCAAGCAUAUACAUGCAAAAAAAAAUUAUAAAUUCUGAUGAAAACAGUAAAGUCUAUAAAAAUUAGUUCUACCAUCUGAUUAAUAGCACAAGACACGUCUUGUGUUGUUUAUAAUAGCAAAAAAAAAAAAAAAAAAAAAUUUUUAUUAUUAGUUCUUAUUAGCUCUGUUUUGUUCUUAUUUGUUCUUAUUUAUUUAUUUUUUUAUUCAACUACCACCCACUUGUACGUUGUUACUACUGCAUAAUACAUGCACAUAUAUAUAUAUAUAUGUACGUGUUUUUUGUUUUGUCAAUUUUUUUUUCAUAAUGAGAAUAUACAUUGUCAUUUCUUUAUACCUGUCUGUUGGGAACAUAAUAAACUAUGGGGCCUCAACAAAUUUAUUAAAUAAUAAUCGAACCUUUAAUUUUGCCGGAGAUUUAAAUUUAAGACAAAAUGACAACACAGAUAAGAAGUUUCCAAAUAAUAAAAAUGAAAACCAAGAUACUGAAGUCAACCAAAUUAUUACAGAAUCAGCAAACAUAAAAAAAUCAGAUGAAAGCGUAAUAGAAAGUUUUGAUAAAGCUACUAACGCAAUUAAAAAAAAAUAUAACAUAAAUGAGAUACCACCAUCUGGUCUUGAUGAGGUAUAAAUAGGCAACAACCAAGCUUUGUAUAUUGGCUGAAUUUUUUUUUUUUUUUUUUUUUUUAUACUUAGCUUAUUUUUUUUAAUUUUUUGUUUCUAUUACAACUUUGGUAGGAUGAAGAAAAUGAUGCAAAAGAAGAAAGCACAUUUUUGUCAGACACGUUAGAAGAAGCUGCUCGGAAUUUCGCAUCUUCUGACCAGGUAGUACACGAAUAAACGAAUACAUACAUGAAUAAACUGAUGACCA
rnacentral:lncRNA from 1 species